rnacentral:rRNA from 1 species
GCUGCAUGGCUGUCGUCAGCUUCGUGUCGUGAGAUGUUGGUUAAGUCCCGCAACGAGCGCAACCCUUUGUCAUUAGUUGCUACAUUCAGUUGGGCACUCUAAUGAGACUGCCGGUGACAAACCGGAGGAAGUGGGGAUGACGUCAAGUCCUCAUGGCCCUUAUAGGUGGGGCUACACACGUCAUACAAUGGAUGGUACAAAGGGUCGCCAACCCGCGAGGGGGAGCCAAUCCCAUAAAGCCAUUCGUAGUCCGGAUCGCAGUCUGCAACUCGACUGCGUGAAGUCGGAAUCGCUAGUAAUCGUGGAUCAGAAUGUCACGGUGAAUACGUUCCCGGGUCUU